GGCUGCGUCACUUCGUUUUGCCCACUACUCCCGAACAGCAGAUUAUGGGGAGAAAUGGAUGGCUUACUUUCAGAACAUUUUGACAGUGCUGUCUCCAACCAUAGUAAGAGUAUUUGAUGUAUAUACAUACAUCGGAAUUAUGAUGUAUUGGUUGCGCUUGUAUUAAAAACAGCACAGUAGACAAUCUCAGAGAGAAAGCGAACGAGUUAGCUUUUCAGUGCACGUAGACAAACAGCUAGCUAGCUGGCUAACAACGAUAACAAUAUUGUCUAAAGAUAUCGCCGUGCCUUGUUUUUUUGGAGCGUGUGGCAGCUGUUCUAAAUUGCAACUCUGGGAAUGCCACAUCACCAAACAUCCCGGAAACAAAACUUGCAGAACAUCGAUUGGCCAGGAGGAUUGCGCAACAGUAAGGGGGAGUCUGUAAAUUCCGACCAUUUACCAUUUUUGUAGAGACCGUUUUAGGGACAUGGACAUUUAAAAAAACGAAAAAUGUGCAACAUGCGCCAAAACACUUUUUUUUUUACAAGAUAAUGUUUUUGUCUUUUUAUACCACGAUUAACCUUCUUAUCCAUUUUCGUUUGGAACCACACUGCUGAAAUAUUAGGAUGGGGCCGGGUCAUGACCCACGGGUCAAUCUGAUCAUCAACAAUGGAAGACAACUUGGACGAAGCCUUCUCCUACUUGCACACUACACCACAGUGUUUGUGACCUUUGUGAGUCGCUCUGUGAACUGGUUCGUGCAGAUGCUAAAGUGGACCACACUGUUUGCAAGGUACACCGCGUCCGUCUUUGACUCCGUCUACAGACACCUGCAUUGGUGGCGUAGAAGGGACGGUGGAGGGGUUGCCAAGCAGAUCUGCCCCAGCCCUGACACAAAAUCAGGGUGACCAGAGUAAACAUGUCAAGUCCCUUUAAACCUGAUGAAGUCUUAGAAUGAUUGAGAGUUUUAACCUUAAACCCUAUCACUAACCGGACAUCCUGCUCAAGACAUCAAAUCAGAAGAUCUCACUGAUCUUUUGGGGAAAUUAAGUGCAACAGUGGUGAGAAAGUUGGGAGAGAGUUGAAGUAGAAUGGAAAGAGCAACUUACUGAAGUCAUUCAGUUUGAGUAUUUCAUUGUUUAAUUCCUUACACUUACUAACAGUCUAGUGUUUUACAGUAUAUGCAUGUAUUGGUUGCAUGUGUAUUCCUUGUACUGUAAUGCCAAUAUGAAAGUUACAUGUUUGAAUCUUCAUAUCAUAAACUGCUAUAAUAAUGUUCAAGGAAAGCUUCUCCAAAACCACUAACAGGAGAGGAAGAAUCGGGCAUUAAACACAUUAUUGUAACACUUUUCUAAAGGGUAUAACGUCAAUUCAACUACACUACCCACCUAUAAACUGUCAUUUGUAACAUGUAUAGGAUGUACAGUAUAGGGGUCUAACUCUAAGCAGCUAUUUCGUCCCAUAGCCAGCUAUUCAUGUGACUGUAAAUAACUAAGAAGUAUGUUUCCUGGGCCACCAGACAAGGAAUGGGUCUUUCACAUUCUAAUCUCGUUACCCAGAACCAAGUCAAGACUAUUCCUAUAUUAUACUGUGUCGAUCAGUAAUUCAAACCACUAUUGAGUUGAACGAAUACAGAAUUGUCUUUCUCUAUGCUUAUAAUGUGUAUCCUUUUAUUAUUGUAUUCUUUUUUACUUAUUUUAUUUGUACAAACUGUGAAAGUACUAUAUGAAUGGCACCAUUGUGUUCAAAAUCAUGCCAACAAUAAUCCCUACAGUUGCAAAUGUGUUGACUGUUUUCUGUUCUUAAAUCACUACUUCAACCACUCAUGUACACUGAGUAUACCAAACAUUAGGAACUCCUUCCUAAUAUUGAGUUGCACCACCCCCCUUUGCCCUCAGAACAGCCUCAAUUCGUCACGGCAUGGACUGACUCUACAAGGUGUCGAAAGCUUUCCACAGGGAUGCUGGCCCAAGUUGACGCCAGUGCUUCCCACAGUUGUCAAGUUAGCUGGAUGUCCUUUGGGUGGACCAUUUUUGUUACACACAGGAAACUGUUAGUGUGAAAAACCCAGCAGCAUUGCAGUUCUUGACACAAACCGGUGUGCCUGGCACCUACUACCAUACCCCAUUCAAAGGCACUUAAAUCUUUUGUCGUCCCCAUUCACCCUCUGAAUGGCACACACACACUCCAUGUCUCAAGGCUUAAAAAUCCUUCUAUAACCGGUCUCCUCCCCUUCAACUACACUGAUUGAAGGGGAUUUAACAAGUGACAUCAAUUGGGUUUCCUAAACUGACCAGGUGAAAGCUAUGUCAUGGAAAGAGGUGUCCUUAAUGUUUUGUAUCCUCAGUGUGUAUCACAGGUGUCAAACUCAUUCCACAGAGGGCUGAGUGGCUGCAGGUGUUUGCUCCUCCCUUGUACUCGAUAGAGGAAUUAAAUCAAAUCAAAAAAUGUGUCACAUGCGCCGAAUACAACGGGUGUAGAUCUUACAGUGAAAUGCUUACUUACAAGCUCUUAACCAACAAUGCAGUUUUAAGAAAACAUUUAAAUUAAUAAAGUAACAAAUAAUUAAAGAGCAGCAGUAAAAUAACAAUAACGAGGCUAUAUACUGGGGGCACCGGUUAGUCGAGGUAAUUGAGGUAAUAUACAUGUGGGUAGAGUUAUUAAAGUCACUCAUGCAUACAUAAUAAGAGAGUAGCAGCAGUGUAAAAUAGGGGGGGGGGGCAAUGCAAGUAGUCUGGGUAGCCAUUUGAUUAGAGGUUCAGUAGUCUUAUGGCUUGGGGGUAGAAGCUGUUUAGAAGCCUCUUGUACCUAGACUUGGUGCACCGGUACCGCUAGCCGUGCGGUAGCAGAGAGAACAUUCUAUGACUUGGGUGGCUGGAGUCUUUGAAUUUUUUUAGGGCCUUCCUCUGACACUGCCUGGUAUAGAGGUCCUGGAUGGCAGGAAGCUUGGCCCCAGUGAUGUACUGGGCCGUAUGCACUACCCUCUGUAGAGCUUUGCGGUCGGAGGCCGAGCAGUUGCCAUAACAGACAGUGAUGCAACCAGUCAGGAUGCUCUCAAUGGUGCAGCUGUAGAACCUUUUGAGGAUGCAAAACCCAUGCAAAAAUAGGUUUUGUCGUGGCCUCUUCACGACUAUCUUGGUGUGCUUAGACCAUGUUUGUUUGUUGGUGAUGUGGACAUCAAGGAACUUGAAGCUCUCAACUUGCUCCACUAAGGUCACCAACUAGUAAGGAACUCCCCUUACCUGGUUGUUUAGGGUUCUAUUGAAAGGAAAAAAUAAAAACCUGCAAACACUCAGCCCCCCAUGGAAUGAGUUUGACACCCAUGGUCUAGAUAAAGCCUUUAAAGAUGGAAUACACAUUAGGGGAAACGGCACCACUGUCUCUCAAAUUUGGCAGUACGUGACCCCAGCACAGUACGUGUCCUCCGCUUCUUGAUAUGCCACACUUGUCAGGUGGAUGGGUUAUCUUGGCAAGGGAGAAAUGUUCACUAACAGGAAUGCAAGCAAAUUUGUGCAUAUCAUUUGAGAGAAAUAAGCUUUUUGUGCGUAUGGAAAAUUCUGGGAUCUUUUAUUUCAGCUCAUGAAACAUGGGAUCAACACUUUACAUAUUGCGUUUAUAUUUUUUGUUCAGUAUAGUAAUAUCCCAAACGGAUAUGAAAGUUUCACCAUUAAGGAUUCCAGCUUUAAGAACCAGUAAAGCAAACUGCUUCAGGAUGGGAUUUCUGUGAAAGCUACAGCAUGUACUGUAGUCCAAGUAAGAAACUUCUAACCGAAUCUAGAAUGUUCUAUCUGGGCCUAAGCACCACAGUUGAAGUACUUUAUUGUGCAUUAUGCUAAAUACACUGCUUGUCUGGCAUCAAUGUUGCUGUUGGGCUGCAUGAAGAAUCAAAGUCUGGCACUGUAAUACAGAAAGCAUUGUCUUGUGGUCAUGAUGAAGUUAUUAAUGAGUAAUGACCUGGGCCUACUUGGUCUAUGAAUGUGAAGGAAUCUCAAUAAACAAAACUAAACACAAAA